AAACAAGAUGGUUUAAAAAAUUAAACAACAAAAUACACGAUUUCUUUACAAAUUGUUGUCCAAACUCACCCAGUUAUAGCUACAGCCCAUUACAUGGCCCAUCAUGCAAUUAGUGGAACCAAACCCCCUAGACAAACCGCCACUCUUCGAAAAGCGCUCUUCGUGAACUUCCUUGCGGCUGCCACAUAUGAGUAAAUACUAUAUAAGUGAAUUCGAGUGCGAGUUUGUGGAAGCGGAGUACAAAGCCAACUAUAAGCCAAGGAUGGACAUGGGAUAGGAAAUGGCUGAGGGAAAUGGGGAAUAACCUAGCCGUACCAAAAGAAAAGUAAAAACUCAAAUGAAAAAUCAUACAAAAGGCGCAUAAAUUAGCAAUGAGAGCAUUGGUCUAAUAAGCAGGGUGAGUGGUGUAAGGCAGUUACAGUCGGCGUGCCUGCGACGCAUUCAUUAGUUUAAUAUUAAAAUAGUCAUCAUAAACUGGUAGCUGAACGCCCGAAACAAUGUGCAGCAAAACCAAAAGGCGGAGGAUCAGCAAAGAAUGUAUCAGCAAGUACUAAGGGCCAAGAUUUAUGAACUGCAGUCAACGAGUCAUAGUUAUGUACAGCAGUGGUCAAAAAUGGUAAUAAGACGUAGGGCCCGGAAAACAUUAUAAAACAUUAAAGACCCUGCAUUCAUAGCUGCAGUUCUAUAAAUUUAAUAUAAUAUAAAUCUA